rnacentral:rRNA from 4 species
UACAGAGGGUGCAAGCGUUAAUCGGAUUUACUGGGCGUAAAGCGCGCGUAGGUGGCCAAUUAAGUCAAAUGUGAAAUCCCCGAGCUUAACUUGGGAAUUGCAUUCGAUACUGGUUGGCUAGAGUAUGGGAGAGGAUGGUAGAAUUCCAGGUGUAGCGGUGAAAUGCGUAGAGAUCUGGAGGAAUACCGAUGGCGAAGGCAGCCAUCUGGCCUAAUACUGACACUGAGGUGCGAAAGCAUGGGGAGCAAACAGG